rnacentral:rRNA from 1 species
UGGGGAAUAUUGGACAAUGGGCGCAAGCCUGAUCCAGCCAUGCCGCGUGUGUGAAGAAGGCCUUUUGGUUGUAAAGCACUUUAAGCGAGGAGGAGGCUACUUGGAUUAAUACUCUAGGAUAGUGGACGUUACUCGCAGAAUAAGCACCGGCUAACUCUGUGCCAGCAGCCGCUGUAAUACAGAGGGUGCGAGCGUUAAUCGGAUUUACUGGGCGUAAAGCGUGCGUAGGCGGCUUCUUAAGUCGGAUGUGAAAUCCCUGAGCUUAACUUAGGAAUUGCAUUCGAUACUGGGAAGCUAGAGUAUGGGAGAGGAUGGUAGAAUUCCAGUUGUAGCGGUGAAAUGCGUAGAGAUCUGGAGGAAUACCGAUGGCGAAGGCAGCCAUCUGGCCUAAUACUGACGCUGAGGUACGAAAGCAUGGGGAGCAAACAGG